UGUGGUGUGUAUGUGGGGUGUGUGUGGUGUGGGGUGUGUGUGUGAAGUGAUAGCAGAUGCUUAGUAUGUAUAGGAUCUGUUCUUUCCCUCGCUGACUCUCGGUUGAAAUAGAACCCUACUUUGUCCUCGAUGUUCAGUAACGUUACGCCUGUGGCUUCCAGAAAGAGCCUGUGGCUUCCAGAAAGAGCCUCUCCCUUCCUGGUUCUUGCUCUGACAUUUUGAGGACAUUUUGGGGAGGGGGUGAGACGACAGUGACCGUGGAAGAGCAGAACUGGCCGGCCCUGCAGGUGGGAGGCUGCUCCUGCUGGCGGCAUCUCCGACUUGCCGCGGCCGCGAUGUCUCCCGCCCCGCUCCGAUUGCAGCGUAGCGGGUAGACAUGGAGGGCUUUCGGCAUCGUGAGAGUGGCCAGUGUGCGCGUCCUUGCCCAUCAGGCGGGGGGGCUGUGGGGGAGGAGAGGAGGCAGUGGAGGGAACAAGGGGUUCUUCAGGGUUGCCAUGAGAACCAGGGAUCCGGGGAUUGGGCAGCAGAGGGCCCCCGCCGGGCGUUGGGGCGUGGCCGCGUCACAUGGGUUUGGUCCUGGGAUUCCUGUUGUGCUCUAGGACCGGGCACUGCUCCGCCGUCCUCCCGCUCCUCGGGAGCGCCCGGUCCCUCGGCGGCUGAAGAUUGCGGCUGGCUCCGCGGAGGGGCCUCCGGGCACCCGCGCGGUGAUGGCGCUGGGAGCCCCCAGACGCACUCGGGCGGCGGCGCGGCAUCCCACCCUCGCCCGGAUGGCGUCCCCGGAGGCGGCGCUGGCCCGCUUUCCGUGCUAGCGCGUUCGCCUGGCUCGCGGCGGCCUCGGGCCCGGGUCGGCUUUCAGCGCCGCAGGCCCCUGUCCGGGGCGGAGCCGUGGAGGAGCGGCCCGCCCGGCUCCCGGCGCUGUCCAUGCGGAGCGCUGUCCACGCGCCGGGCACUGCGGGGGCCGGGCCCCGAAGCCCUCCCAGGGCCGGCGGCGCGCACGCAGCGACCCCGUGCGGCGGGUGCUGCCGCCCGCUCUCCAGGUACUCAGGACAAAGUGGAGCAGACACCUCGCAGUCAACAAGCGCCGGCAGGACCAGGGCUCCCUGCACAGCCUGACCGACUCGUGAAUCGCCAGGAGGAUGAUGUGGACCUGGAAGCCCUGGUGAACGAUAUGAACGCAUCCCUGGAGAGCAUGCAGUCGGACACAGUGCCCCUCCUGCAGAAUGGCCAGCAUGCCCGCAGCCAGCCUCGGGCCUCGGGCACUCGCUCUGUCCAGCCUCAGGCGUCCCCGAGGCAGAGGGUGCAGCGCUCCCAGCCCGUACACAUCCUCGCUGUCAGACGCCUUCAGGAGGAAGACCAGCAGUUUAGAACCUCGUCUCUGCCGGCCAUCCCCAAUCCUUUUCCCGAACUCUGCGGCCCUGGGAGCCCCCCUGUGCUCACGCCAGGUUCUUUACCUCCGAGCCAGGCCGCUGCAAAGCAGGAUGUUAAAGUCUUUAGUGAAGAUGGGACGAGCAAAGUGGUGGAGAUUCUAGCAGACAUGACGGCCAGGGACCUGUGCCAGCUGCUGGUUUACAAAAGUCACUGUGUGGAUGACAACAGCUGGACGCUCGUGGAGCACCACCCGCACCUGGGAUUAGAGAGGUGCUUGGAAGACCAUGAGCUGGUGGUGCAGGUGGAGAGUACCAUGGCCAGUGAGAGUAAAUUUCUAUUCAGGAAGAAUUAUGCAAAAUACGAGUUCUUUAAAAAUCCAGUGAACUUCUUCCCAGAACAGAUGGUUACAUGGUGCCAGCAGUCAAAUGGCAGUCAGAGUCAGCUUUUGCAGAAUUUUCUGAACUCCAGUAGCUGUCCUGAAAUUCAAGGAUUUUUGCAUGUGAAAGAGCUGGGAAAGAAAUCAUGGAAAAAGCUCUAUGUGUGUUUACGGAGAUCUGGCCUUUAUUGCUCCACAAAGGGAACUUCAAAGGAACCCAGACACCUGCAGCUGCUGGCAGACCUGGAGGACAGCAACAUCUUCUACUUGAUCGCCGGCAGGAAGCAGUACAGUGCCCCCACAGACUACGGGCUCUGCAUAAAGCCAAACAAAGUCAGGAACGAAACUAAAGAGCUGAGAUUGCUCUGUGCCGAGGAUGAGCAAACCAGGACAUGCUGGAUGACGGCGUUCAGACUCCUCAAGUAUGGAAUGCUCCUUUACCAGAACUACCGAAUCCCUCAGCAGAGGAAGGCUUUGCUGUCCCCGUUCUCAACGCCAGUGCGCAGUGUCUCCGAGAACUCCCUUGUGGCAAUGGAUUUUUCUGGGCAAACAGGACGCGUGAUAGAGAAUCCGGCAGAGGCCCAGAGUGCUGCCCUGGAGGAGGGCCACGCCUGGAGGAAGCGAAGCACACGGAUGAACAUCCUAGGUAGCCAAAGUCCCCUCCACCCUUCUACCCUAAGUACAGUGAUUCACAGGACACAGCACUGGUUUCACGGGAGGAUCUCCAGGGAGGAAUCCCACAGGAUCAUUAAACAGCAAGGGCUCGUGGAUGGCAAAAGAAAAGAUGUCUUCAUCCUAAAUCUUCUCUCCCAGCAUGCUUUUUCUUCUCCGUGACAGCCAGAGUAAUCCAAAGGCAUUUGUACUCACACUGUGUCAUCACCAGAAAAUUAAAAAUUUCCAGAUCUUACCUUGCGAGGAUGACGGGCAGACGUUCUUCAGCCUGGAUGACGGGAACACCAAAUUCUCUGACCUGAUCCAGCUGGUCGACUUUUACCAGCUGAACAAAGGAGUCCUGCCUUGCAAACUCAAGCACCACUGCAUCCGAGUGGCCUUAUGACCGCAGACGUCCUCUCGGCUGAAGACUGGAGGAAGUGAACACUGGAGCGAAGAAGCGGUCUGUGAAUUGGUUAAGAUCACACGUCGAUUCUGCACCGGGGGACCCAGAGCGAGAUGGGUUCAUUCGGUGCCAGCCGAUCAAGAUUGACUAGUUUGUUGGACUUAGACGACGAUUUGCUGCUGUGAACCCAGCAGAAUCACCUCCCUCUGCAUUGGCCAAAUUGGGGAGGGCAUGGAAGAUCCAGCGCAAAUUUGAGAAUAAACUGGAAUGAUCACCUUGGCUUGGGCCGCUUAGGAGCAAGAACCGGAGAGAAGUGAUUGGAAAUGAACUCUUGCCCUGGAAUAAUCUUGACAAUUAAAACUGAUAUGUUUACUUUUUUUGUAUUGAUCACUUUUUUGCACUCCUUCUUUGUUUUCAAUAUUGUAUUCAGCCUAUGGUAGGAGGGGAUGUGGCUUUUCAACUCACAUAAUACAGAAAGAGUUUUGAACGGGCAGACUUCAAAGUGAAUAUGGGUCCCCAAAUGUUCCCAGAGGGUCCUCCUCUGCCAACUGCCACGGUGUGGAUUCAGCUCCCAAAUGACAAACCCAGCCCUUCCCACUAUACUUGAAAAGCUUUUUUGUCAAAAUAAAAGGUGUCACUGUGGUAGGCAUUUGGCAUGUUUUGUGGACUCAGUCAAGCAACCACAGUCUGUUAAUCAUUUCUCUAUGCUCAGAUGUCAGACCCUCUUGUUAUUAGCGUGUCUUGUUCUGCACAGUGGCAGGAGACUUUACUCCUUUGGAAAAUUCACUGUUCCACAAACGGCAGGCUGAGCGGCCUCGCCUCUAGAUUGAUGUGGGCCAGCCUCCUUGAGACACACCUGGCGCCCGUCAUCGGCCAGCGGUGGAUGCUGCUUAAUCCACCUGGGUACUUUUAGCCUUGCGUUUCCACAGUCUUCAGCCUGUUCUAGAACGAUCACUGCCUUACCCCUGCUGCUGCAGUGGUGUGAGUCGUUUCACAGCUGAUGUCCCUCGGGGGAUUAAAGGAUCUAAAGAGAAAAUGGCACCUGGUUGGCUUCGUGCUGUGUCUCGUGGGUUUCCAUGGUGAUAAAGACGAGGAAGCAUUGCAGAGGGCACAGGCACAGCCUGACAUUUAAAGAUCUUUGCUUGCAGCCCUCCGUCCUGCAGAAACCCCAUAAGCCAGCGAAUGCAGAGCAGCCAGAGGCUCCUCCUCUGCCGGCUUAGGGUCAGAAGUACCUCACAGUGGUUGUGGACAUGGAAGAGUUUUGUCAACACAACACUUGCUUCCCGCUCCGGGAAAUGAGUCAGACGGUGGCUGGAGUUGUCACUUGGUCCCCUCCACCCCUCGGGUGGCCCCCUUUGCCACGUCCCCUUAGCUUAGUGUUCAGGUGUGAGAGUGGCCAUUUCCAUACCUUUGAUCCCUGCAAAGCGGAAAGGACUCUUGACAAGCAACAGACUCCUGUGGCGAGCAGAAUGAUUUCCUUUUUCAAGACAGCACCUGCCUGGCUUCUCUGAAUCUGUGCUAGCCACGAUAUUGCCCCACAUCCGCCCCACUGAAGUGCUCCCGAAAGAACGGCAUUUCUCUGCUUCUCAGUCAAUCCCCAUAGCCUAGAGCAGUGUCACGAGCUUCAGUAAGGCCAGUGAGCUGGAAGUCAGUCUACAGUAUAGUAACACUGUAUUUCAGUUUACAGACCACGCUCUAGUUGUUCUCCAUGAAAGGUCUACUUAUACAAAUGCGUUUUUUAGCAGAACACGUUUUUAACCAUCAGUGCUCAAUUGCCUUUUCUUCCUUUUGCAGCCAGUUAACCUUUCGAACUAUUGACAGUGAGAUCAUUCUCGCAUCCACCCCUGGCGGCACGCUUCACUGUAGGGACAGACGUUGCGGUUACACCACGAUUCCUUCUUUCUCUUCACUGGCUCGAGGUAAACCCUUUCCAAGGAAAAGCAACUCUAGGAUUUCUUUCGUCUGUGUACGUAGACCAGUCCCAUAAGUGUAUAAUCUCUCUUUCACGCCUCUCUCCAGUAGACAGCUUGUAUUUGCGGUAUUUCAUAUUUACAAAUAAGCGUUUAUUUAGAAGGAGAACAAAAGCUUGACUCUGAUUCACAGUUUUGUAUGUAGCUGGUUUGACGUAGUCUUUUGUAUUUUCGCUGCCGAAGUGAAUUGUUGGAGAAUGUAAACCGCCUUGGUGCGGCGGCAGAUUUCCUAAGGCUCCAGCUCGCUGGCCCCGUGCUGGGCAGCUGGGAAUUCCACCUGAGAACAAGUCCCGCAAACCAGGGACGGAAGGACAUCUGACUUUUAUUUUUGUAUUUAAUUGACAUGAAUGUAAAGGGGACAGCUCAGGGUUGUUUUGGAGCCUGUUGACUUUGUAUCUCUGCCUGUGAUUUUCUUUUCUAAAUGAAACUCCAUGUAGCAACCGGAACGAAGUUGAGAAGGAAAAUGCCAAAUGCUUUGGUUAUUAGAGUUUAAUAGGUAAGCUCUGUUACACUAGAUGUUAGAGUUCCAGAAUGUUCUUUUGUUUGCUAAACCUUGAAGAAACAUGUGCCUCAGCCUAGAUGUUUUGUCUUCUCUUUUCUGCACUUACUAACUGACAGUGUGACCGAUCUCUGCGCCUUCCCGGGGGUGGGCGAGCUGGCGGUAGAUUUGUGAUGUCACAGUGCGAACUGCAGUGACUGUAAAAUGGCCUGGCGUGUGUAAACGUUUUCAGGGAAUGCAGAAGGUAUUAAUGAAGAGACAAAACCUUUAUUCCAUGUGCUUUGCAUCAUUCUGUACAUAGCUCUUUGGCUCGUGAACCUAAUUGUAAACUUUCAGGUAUUUUUGUACAAAUAAGGGACUGAUGUUAUGUUUCUUGUAAUUAGAAAUAAACAUUAAUACAGUGUUCUUCAUUU